rnacentral:sRNA from 1 species
AUAGUUUGUGGUAGACUAUUGAUACGCGGAGGAGUGGGUUUUCAGCUUAGAGCACGGUGAUAGGCUGCAAGUUUACCUGCUGACUCGUGAAGAGGAUGAACCAUCUUCCCCAACUGAUUUAAGCCAAACGAUCUCAAAGAAAACUGUCAGGAGCAUACAAGAGGCUCCAGCUGCUGUAGUUAGAGCAUUCAUUCUCCAGAUACUUACUGAGCACCUACUUUGUGCCAGUCUCCAUGCUUUGAUUUGAGGGUGCAGUGGUGAACAAAAGCAGACAAGUGAGGGAGCCUCCUACCAAAGAAGGAGAGUGAAGAUCUUGUAAUCAGCUUACGUCGACCCCCUCUAAGAUACCCAAGAUCUGAAGCCACCAGUGUCCAACAGAAGGUCAAUUUCUCUGAAGAAGGAGAAACUGAAGAUGAUCAAGACAGCUCUCACAGCAGUGUCACUACUGUUAAGUCCAGAUCCAGGGAUUCUGAUGAAUCUGGA